rnacentral:rRNA from 1 species
UGGGGAAUUUUGGACAAUGGGCGCAAGCCUGAUCCAGCCAUACCGCGUGAGUGAAGAAGGCCUUCGGGUUGUAAAGCUCUUUCAGACGGAAAGAAACGGUUACGGCUAAUACCCGUGACUAAUGACGGUACCGUAAGAAGAAGCACCGGCUAACUACGUGCCAGCAGCCGCGGUAAUACGUAGGGUGCGAGCGUUAAUCGGAAUUACUGGGCGUAAAGCGUGCGCAGGCGGUUUGGUAAGACAGAUGUGAAAUCCCCGGGCUUAACCUGGGAACUGCAUUUGUGACUGCCAGACUAGAGUGUAGCAGAGGGGGGUAGAAUUCCGCGUGUAGCAGUGAAAUGCGUAGAUAUGCGGAGGAACACCGAUGGCGAAGGCAAUCCCCUGGACCUGUACUGACGCUCAUGCACGAAAGCGUGGGGAGCAAACAGGAUUAGAUACCCAUGUAGUCCCUGAGCGGGCUGGCAAGGCGCAU